GGGUCGGAAUUUCAAGAAGUAGAAUUUUAGGUCUAAUGAGGGUUUAUAAAUUUUUUUACAAUCUAUUAGUUGGAUUGAAGUAAAAUUUAUAUAUUUAGGUGGUAGACCUAUUUUUCUAUAUAUUUGAAAAAUUUGAGAUCAAUUGAAUGGUUUGAUAAAGAGAUUUUGGCAUUAGAAAUUUAACAUUUAGAUUGGAGGAGGCUAGCCAAUAUCUAAUCAAAUAUUAGAGUUGAUCUUCUUUUUGGUGAAUUCAAUCUUCUUAAAAAAAAAUUGUGCUUGUUGUCAACUUAAUUUUUAAGAAGUAUAAAAAUUUUGAGUUAAAAUCAAUAGUUCAUUCAUUAGUUAUUGAGGUUUAAAUCUAUUAUAGGAAUUACUUAGAAUUAUUUAAGAUUUAAUUAGGAUAUUUUUAGGAAUCGAUGAGGAUUUUAUUAGGGUUUGUUUAGGAUUUGUUUAGAAUUUAAUUAAGAUUUGUUUAAGAUUUGAUUAAGAUUUGGUUAUGAUUUUUUAGGAUUUGACUAGAAUUUAUUUAGGAUUUGGUUAAGAUUUAUUUAGGUUUUGUUUGGAGCUUGGCUAGGGUUCGGUUAGGAUUUGACUAGGGUUUGGUUAGGGUUUGUUUAGAAUUUGAUUAGAAUUUGAUUAAGGUUUGUGUAGGAUUUGACCAAAAUUUAUUUAAGAUUUGAUUAGGAUUUGAUUAGGAUUUGUUAAGAUUUGACUAGGAUUUAUUUAUGAUUUGAUUAAGAUUUGACUAGGAUUUGACUAGAAUUUGAUUAAAUUUA
rnacentral:lncRNA from 1 species